rnacentral:rRNA from 1 species
UACGGGGGGGGCAAGCGUUGUUCGGAAUUACUGGGCGUAAAGGGCUCGUAGGCGGCCAACUAAGUCGGAUGUGAAAUCCCCAGGCUCAACUUGGGAACUGCAUCCGAUACUGGAUGGCUUGAAUUCGGGAGAGGGAUGCAGAAUUCCAGGUGUAGCGGUGAAAUGCGUAGAGAUCGGGUGGAACACCAGCGGCGAAGGCGGCAUCCUGGCCCUGUACUGACGCUGAGGCGCGAUAGCGUGGGGAGCAAACGGG